rnacentral:lncRNA from 1 species
GAGCGCAGAGCGGUUUGGUCGUUCGUUGGGCGGUGCUGGUUUUUCGCUCGUCGACUGCGGCUCUUCCUCGGGCAGCGGAAGCGGCGCGGCGGUCGGAGAAGUGGCCUAAAACUUCGGCGUUGGGUGAAAGAAAAUGGCCCGAACCAAGCAGACUGCUCGUAAGUCCACCGGUGGGAAAGCCCCCCGCAAACAGCUGGCCACGAAAGCCGCCAGGAAAAGCGCUCCCUCUACCGGCGGGGUGAAGAAGCCUCAUCGCUACAGGUAGGUCGGGCGGGGGAACAAUGGCCCGGCGGUGGCCGGCUUUGUGCGGCAGCGUCCGCUCACUCCUCCCCUGCUCGCUGCAGGCCCGGGACCGUGGCGCUUCGAGAGAUUCGUCGUUAUCAGAAGUCGACCGAGCUGCUCAUCCGGAAGCUGCCCUUCCAGAGGUUGGUGAGGGAGAUCGCGCAGGAUUUCAAAACCGACCUGAGGUUUCAGAGCGCAGCCAUCGGUGCGCUGCAGGAGGCUAGCGAAGCGUACCUGGUGGGUCUGUUCGAAGAUACCAACCUGUGUGCCAUCCACGCUAAGAGAGUCACCAU